AAAAAAAUUUGUAAGGGUUCCGCGGAACCCAGUGUCUUGCCUACUUUUGCUGUUAAUCGCAGGCUCAACAAAAAUGAGGGAAAAAAAUUAAUAAAAAUAUUCCUCUCUAUACUAUCUUUUGAUUGUAAGUAGCUUCUGUCCAAGUUUGGUAAAAAUCCAGGAUAAUUUAUGAAUCUAAUAAAUGUUUUAAUAAAAUGCUUCGCUGGGCGCAGCUUGAUACGACCCCAGAGGUCGAACCCUGAACAGUUGGGGCAAGUAUGGACACAACAUUCAAGCUUGAUACAGCUCUGAAUUUGGAUUGUGAUUAAAUAUUUGACACAGCAUAGGUUUCUGACACAGAAUGAAUGUGGUCUAAGAACUUAAAAAAUUUUAAUUUACCUAUUAUGGUCCAAUAUCCAAAAUCUAAAUACAUAUACGGUUAGAUUCAGCAUAUCAAAGAACCCCAAAAAUUCAAUUUUUGUUAAAAUCAAACUAAGUUUAAUUUUGGACCCUUUGGAUCCUAAUGUAGACCACUUUGGAAACGGGACCAAAAAUUAAGAAUCUAAAUACACGGUUAAAUUCAGCAUAUCAAAGAACCCCAUUAUUUCAAUUUUUGUUGAAAUCAAACCAUAUCAUUAUUAUUUGCUUUUAUAUAUAAAUAAAAAAUAACCACCUUAAAAUGGAAAAUUUUAAAGAAAAAAAAAAGGAAAAAAAAAUCCCCCCCCAAUUUUUUGAACCCCCUUAUGGUUCGUCACCCCCAAACUCAAACCCAGCCUUCCCUUUGUGGUAUGGUACCUUGCAGUGCAAUUUCAGAGAGAUCCAUACACUUGAAAACAAGUUAUUGUCUGGAAACUGUAAAAAUGCUUGUUUUUUUGCCCCUUUUUGGCCCCAAAUUCCUAAACAUUUAGGGCAAUUACCCCCAAACUCAAACCCAGCUUUCCCUUUGUGAUAUGGAACCUUGCAGUACAAUUUCAUAAAGAUCCAUACACUUACACACAAGUUAUUGUCCUGAAACUAGAAAAAUUCUUGUUUUUUUGCCCCUUUAUGGCCCCUAAUUCCUAAAAUUUUGAGGGAAUUACCCCCAAAAUCAAUCCCAGUCUUCCCUCUGUGCUAUGGUACCUUGCAGUACAAUUUCAGAGAGAUCCAUACACUUGAACACAAGUUAUUGUCUGGAAACUAGAAAAAUGCUAAUUUUUUGCCCCUUUUUGGCCCCUUAUUCCUAAACGUUUAGGACAAUUACCCCCAAACUCAAUUCCAGCUUUUCCUUUGUGAUAUGGAACCUUGUAGUACAAUUUCAGAAAGAUCCAUACACUUACACACAAGUUAUUGUCAUGAAACUAGAAAAAUGCUUGUUUUUUGCCCCUUUUUGGCCCCUAAUUCCUAAAAUUUGGAGGCAAUUACCCCUAAAUCAAUCCCAGCAUUCCCUUUGUGACAUGGAACCUUGUGGUACAAUGUCAGAGAGAUCCAUACACUUACACACUAGAUCCAUACACUUACACACAAGUUAUUGUCAUGAAACUAGAAAAAUGCUUGUUUUUUGCCCCUUUUUGGCCCCUAAUUCCUAAAAUUUGGAGGCAAUUACCCCCAAAAUGAAUCCCAGCAUUCCCUUUGUGAUAUGGAACCUUGUGGUACAAUGUCAGAGAGAUCAAUACACUAACACACAAGUUAUGU